ACGCGCAGACGGAGGCGGCAGGCGAGAGCGCGGUCCCCGAGGCGCAGAGCGGCGUGGUACUCGCCGGCGUCGGCGCGUCGGGCCGGGCGCAGCCACAGCGAGAAGUCCCCGCGCUGGAGGCCGCGCUCAUCCAGCUGCACGCGGGGCUGCAGGGGCGGCCUCCCGACGCGCAGGCCUCCGGGAGCCAGCCUAAGCACCGUGUAGCGGCGGGGCCCCGGGCCCCGCGGGGAGAGCGCCGCGGGCUCACUGGGCGGGAGAGAGAUGGGACUGAGAAAUGCGAGGGGAAGAAACCCCGGGGAAGAGGCCGUCCAACCACACUUUGAGGAUGAGGAAGCCCACCCAAAGGGAAGAUCUCUGGACUGCUAACCGUCCCGUCCCCCGCUCCGGUUGGCCAGCACCAUCCACUACCGGAGAGAGGCAGGCGUGCUGGGGGACGCAGGUCCUGCAAGAGAGAGACAGGUCACCUUCCUCUCACCACAAACGAUCUGCAGCCCUUAAGUCCCUCCAGGCCCGGUUCUCCCUCUGCAGUGACUUUAGAGGAGUGGGAGAUGGAGAAAGUGGGCGGUGCAGCUUAGAGACUGAACAGAGGUCCUAGGGUCCUCACAGCCACAGAGGGGCUGAGACCAGACACCUUCCCCAAGACUCGAGGGAGGAGAAAAGUGAUGAAGCCCGGGAAGAGGCAGCCAAGGCACUGUGGUGUCUCUGUGUGAUCGGAUCGGAUCUGGUGUUGGUGUGCAACUCUGUGUAUCCGAUUCCAUGGGGAUGGAAGUUUUCUGGGUGAGUAGAUCACCCUGGGAGGGUGUGUCCUUUCUGGAACAGGGUUGGGACAGGAGAGAGGUUUGGUGCUGGGUGGUUGGCCUGGAGGGACGCUCAAUUCCCUUCUCCCUUUAUGGGGAGCGCAAAACGCUUGCCCCUCUCACUCCAGCUAGGUUUCUUCAUGCCACUUCGCUGUCCUCAUUUCUCUGCCACAUGGUCGGUAUGGCAUUUCUACUACCUGGUGGGCUUUCCCCUACAUCCUGGGCCUGGAGAGCCAGGGGAUCGUCAGCUUCUCUCUGGGGGCCCCAGCACCAGGUCUGCACGGCCCUGGCCUGAGUUUCUCAUCGGGGCUGAUGGAGGAAAGGAGAGUGAGUGCCAGGGAGGGAGGGAGUCUACCAGAGGCCAAAGUCCAAGGGGCCGGGCCCUCUCCUCCCCUGUCUGGUCCUGUCCUUCUGGUCACUGUCCUUCCAUGAUCCCUUUUCCAGGAGGGUAUGUGACCUAGGUCUUGUGCUAGGCAGCUCUCUGGCCUCAUUUACUCAACAUGGGCACACACACUGACACAGGCUGACACUGAUUCACACGCACAGCUACAGAGGGGCGCCCACGCGAUCCGGAGACACAUGGCCCGGUGUUUGGGCAUGCUGGCAUACACUCUUGAGACAGCACAAGUGCCGAGCCACUCGGCACUCACAAAGCAGCCACACGGUUCCAGAACAGCUACGUCUCCACACGCACACAUGUAACUGACACGGGCAGUCCCACACACUCGCUGGAUUUCAGACAUACAAAGACACCUACUCAGUGAAGUCACAUGCCACCGCACAGCCCACCGGAGGGCCGCUCAGCACACCUUGUCAGAUCUCACACGGAGUCCCUGUCUCCCACUGCCUCGAAUCCCAUUGGUUCCCCCUUUCACUUCACCGGCCUCCAGGAGACCUCUGUGACCUCCUCAGCAAUCACCCCCCCACCCAAGGUCGGGCUCCCAGCCCCCAAACCCUGGCCGAAUUAAUUUCCCCAAGCGACACUCAGCAGGUUCCCUAGGGAAAUUAGAGAAAGGCUGGAAGAGAGGCAAGGCCGAAGGGAUGGGGCCAGGGAGGGAGCUGACGGGAGCAAGGGCAGCGCGAUGCAAUGCCAUGCAAUGCUGGGCCCCAGGUUUUUCGAAGGCUGUUCCCGACCCCCUUCUGGUUUUUAGGAAUUCAAGAUUCUUUAAGCGUGGGGGGAGACGCUGGAGAAGGGCUAUGCAGACUAAGAGAGCUGAAGGCCAGUGGACGAAGGAGUGGAUUCAGAUGGAAGGAAAGGAGGGAAGGAGAAAACAGACAGAGGCAGUAGCUGUCGGAGGAGAGAAGCAAGAGUCGGUUGGGCCUCGAGGGGAGGGGCCGAGAGGAACAGCCUCCCUGGAGAGUCCUGUUUACACCGGAGGCUCUCAAACCGCUUAGCGGAGGAAAGGUGAGGUCAGACUGGAAGGGAAGACAGGGGACGGGGCGCCGGAGAGGGGCGCGGG